rnacentral:snRNA from 1 species
GUUCACUUUGGCAGCACAUAUACUAAAAUUGGAAAGAUACAGAGAAGAUUAGCAUGGCCCCUACACAAGGAUGACAUGCAAAUUCAUGAAGCAUCCCAUAUUUGA